CUGCCAGCCGAGGAGCAGGCGCGGCCGCGGCGCCAUAUUGUGGCCCCCAGCGGCCGCGACCGAGUCAUGGCCGAGACCUACGACUUCCUUUUCAAAUUCCUGGUGAUUGGCAGUGCAGGAACCGGCAAAUCAUGUCUCCUUCAUCAGUUCAUUGAGAAUAAGUGUGAGUUUCUGGGGGUGGUCCUGGGAGCAUUGAACCGUGGGCAUGGGCAUGGCGUACGCACUAUGGGGUGGACAGGGGCAGGGCUGGCCAUAGGUCCAACUCCAGUGCUGGCUGCCUGCUCCUUGCCUUGGUGUAUGGCCUUUGCUAGGUCCUCCUUGAGCCUCAGUAACCCCAGCAAUGAGAAUGGGUUUGUACAGGCUGAGGAGGCCUUGGAGGACAGGGAAUCCUCGGAGCUCCUGCACUGCCUCUUCUCUCCCUCCCACUCCCAGUCAAACAGGACUCCAACCACACGAUCGGCGUGGAGUUUGGAUCCCGGGUGGUCAACGUGGGUGGGAAGACUGUGAAGCUGCAGAUUUGGGACACAGCUGGCCAGGAGCGAUUUCGAGGGGGGCAGUCUCGGGGCAGACCCCAGCCUCAGGGGUGACUGGGUCCCCCUGGCCCCACAGGUCGGUGACACGGAGUUACUACCGAGGGGCGGCUGGAGCCCUGCUGGUGUACGACAUCACCAGCCGGGAGACUUACAACUCGCUGGCUGCCUGGCUGACGGAUGCCCGCACGCUGGCCAGCCCCAACAUCGUGGUCAUCCUCUGUGGCAACAAGAAGGACCUGGACCCGGAGCGUGAGGUCACCUUCCUGGAGGCCUCCCGCUUUGCCCAGGAGAACGAGCUGAUGUUCCUGGAAACCAGCGCUCUCACCGGUGAGAACGUGGAGGAGGCUUUCCUGAAGUGUGCUCGCACCAUCCUGAACAAGAUCGACUCAGGCGAGCUCGACCCCGAGAGGAUGGGCUCAGGCAUUCAGUACGGGGACGCCUCCCUUCGCCAGCUGCGGCAGCCUCGGAGCGCCCAGGCCGUGGCCCCUCAGCCCUGUGGCUGCUGAGACCUGCGGAGCCAGAGGAGAGACUGUGGGGGGCAGGAGACCAGCGAAGAGGCUACUGCAAAGUCAAGAUGAGAGACGAUGGUGGACAGGACCAGGCCGGGGGCAGAGGAGGGACUGAGAAGUGGAUAGGCCCACCAAACUGAUUUCCCAGCCCAUUCAUGUGCUGCACACUGGAAUCACCCGGAGAGCCUUAAUGGCUGCUGCAGCCCGGGCCUCACCCCAGAGAUUCUGAAGUGGUUUCGGGAUUUCUAGAAGCUCCCAGCUCACCUGUUCUCCAGGACCAGCCCUGCCCUUCCGGCUGGGGCCCAGUCCCAGGCCCCAGGAGGCCAAGCCCCUCACCUGUCCUGGCCCCGGAGAAGCUGCCCCGCCACCUGUCCCCCUUCCCUGGCCUGGUGGGGCCUGGCUGAGGGGCAAGACUGAGCCACGGGGGAAGGGGGAAUCCGUACCUGCUGCUGCUUCAUCUGUCUUGGCUAACCCCUGUUCCCCCUGAAACCCCAGCCAUACUCGAAGAGUUCCCAAAGCCUGAGACCAGGGCCAUUUGGCCCCAGCUCCCUGCCUGGUCCUGCCAUUGCGAGUACGUGUUAUUUAUUACCUGGAGGCCUGUCCCGUCCCCACCCCGCCCCCAUAAAGCAUUGUUUACA